CAGAGAGUGGUUUAAAUAAAAUAUUAAUUUUGGAGAUUAAUGAUAGAAGAUUUUCUUUCUCUGA
rnacentral:tRNA from 1 species